AAGAAGAUGCUAUAAAAGAGUGGGAUGGGGCUGAAAAGGGAGUUGGAGUCAGUUGCUGUUCUGUGAAGAAGAAAGAGUCAGAGCUCUGAGGAGGUGCCCAUGAGAAACACCAAGCAGGUAUAAAGGGCACUGAUGGAACUUCAUAAUCAAGAUCUAGGAAGACAAGAAUUAAUUCAUGCGGCAGGUAUGCAUCUCAACACUGGGUGAAAUUGUCUCUUUUUAUCAAUCUGAUGAGGUGCUGCCUGGAUAAUGAGUCUGAUUGGAUCUUUGUCAACUUUUAACCUCAGCAUUUGGGCAUUGCCCACUGCUGGACCGGUGCUGGGGAUUUUGCUGCUCAUUAUUUGGAGUUUAACUUCCACCUCAGCAGCCUGCUGUGUCAGAUGAUGAUCAAUAGCAAAACCACCCCAAAACUACUGCCUGCUGAAAUGAAAGUAUCCAGAAUGAGAAUCAAUGAACUUCAAACAGAAAUAACUUUCUACAAAACCCUCUUUAGUUACUGCUUCUCUAUGCAGUUCCAAAAUUUUGAAGAAUAUCUAGUUAUUGCAUCAAGAUCUCAGGUAUUUCUUUGUUUACUCUCCUUAUAUACCUGAAUAGUUGUGGGAAAAGAUUUUGACAACAGAAUUCAGAGGGUGUGAUUAAAUAUUAUUGUAGUGGUUCUCCUGUAGAUUGAUCUAUUUUGAUUUAUUUGUGGGUUGUACACGCUGGAAGGAGCUCGAAAUCCCCCUCUUUUUGUCUGGAAUAAAAUUGCAGUGAAUAGCUGAGGGGUCAGGAGGGAAGUGAAGCACUUCAAGGACAAGUUUAAGGCACAUCUUGAUUUGUGUGGUGUCAGCUUCACAAUGUGGAAAGCUACAGCUGGGGGCUGUCUGCUCUGCAGAGAAAAUGUACUCACACUGUCAAAGCCUGUGAACAAAACAGGAAUGACACUGGGCAGCACAGGAGGUGCCAGACAAAAGAAAAUCCAGUGAGCUCAGGAAAUUACACAGGUGGUAGCUCUUUGUACCACCAUAAUGUGAAAAUCUGAUUAAUUUCACAGCAGAUAAGGUGAAAACGUUGAUUCUUCAUACUGGGACUCAAUAGAAAAUUCUCUCAUCUGUCCUUGCUUGGCUUCUCCCACUGUCGCACAGUUUUGUGCUCUCUGGAUAUUCAUCUCCAGGAUUUUGGUCUUGGAUUUUGCAGCACAGCUGCUUUUCAAAAAGAAACCGGGACCAAAUCCUGCCACCCCUCAGACAUCCCUUUAAACAUUAAUGCACUUGGGUGCACAAGCUCUGGUCUCCCUUGAGCUGAAGGAGCAAACCAAAGCACAUGGGUUGAUAUUUCAGUGGGCUUUCACUCUGCACCCUCCAAAACUUUGGAAUGCCCCACGGCCUCUCUCUUUUUCAAAUAAAGCCAGAAAGAA